rnacentral:rRNA from 1 species
UACGAAGGUCCCAAGCGUUAUCCGGAUUUAUUGGGUUUAAAGGGUGCGUCGGCGGGCUAUUAAGUCAGUGGUGAAAGCUCCAUGCCUAACAUGGAAAUUGCCAUUGAUACUGAUGAUCUUGAGUACAUUUGAAGUGGGCGGAAUGUGUCAUGUAGUGGUGAAAUACUUAGAUAUGACACAGAACACCGAUUGCGUAGGCAGCUCACUAAACUGUAACUGACGCUGAGGCACGAAAGCGUGGGGAGCAAACAGG